GCUGGGGUUGCCGAGAGGUAAGGCGACAGCCUGCUAAGCUGUUGGGCUUUGCCCGCGUGGGUUCGAAUCCCACCCCCAGC
rnacentral:tRNA from 1 species